rnacentral:rRNA from 1 species
UGGGGAAUAUUGCACAAUGGGCGCAAGCCUGAUGCAGCCAUGCCGCGUGUAUGAAGAAGGCCUUCGGGUUGUAAAGUACUUUCAGCGAGGAGGAAGGCAUUGUGGUUAAUAACCGCAGUGAUUGACGUUACUCGCAGAAGAAGCACCGGCUAACUCCGUGCCAGCAGCCGCGGUAAUACGGAGGGUGCAAGCGUUAAUCGGAAUUACUGGGCGUAAAGCGCACGCAGGCGGUUUGUUAAGUCAGAUGUGAAAAUCCCCCGGGCUCAACCUGGGAACUGCAUUUGAAACUGGCAAGCUUGAGUCUCGUAGAGGGGGGUAGAA